UGGGGAAUCUUGCGCAAUGGGCGAAAGCCUGACGCAGCCAUGCCGCGUGUAUGAUGAAGGUCUUAGGAUUGUAAAAUACUUUCACCGGUGAAGAUAAUGACUGUAGCCGGAGAAGAAGCCCCGGCUAACUUCGUGCCAGCAGCCGCGGUAAUACGAAGGGGGCUAGCGUUGCUCGGAAUUACUGGGCGUAAAGGGAGCGUAGGCGGACAUUUAAGUCAGAGGUGAAAUCCCGGAGCUUAACUUCGGAACUGCCUUUGAUACUGGGUGUCUUGAGUGUGAGAGAGGUAUGUGGAACUCCGAGUGUAGAGGUGAAAUUCGUAGAUAUUCGGAAGAACACCAGUGGCGAAGGCGACAUACUGGCUCAUUACUGACGCUGAGGCUCGAAAGCGUGGGGAGCAAACAGGAUUAGAUACCCUGGUAGUCCACGCCGUAAACGAUGAUUGCUAGUUGUCGGGAAGCUUGCUUCUCGGUGACGCAGCUAACG
rnacentral:rRNA from 1 species